CCUACGGGGGGCUGCAGUGGGGAAUAUUGGACAAUGGGCGAAAGCCUGAUCCAGCCAUGCCGCGUGUGUGAAGAAGGUCUUCGGAUUGUAAAGCACUUUAAGUUGGGAGGAAGGGCAGUAAGUUAAUACCUUGCUGUUUUGACGUUACCGACAGAAUAAGCACCGGCUAACUUCGUGCCAGCAGCCGCGGUAAUACGAAGGGUGCAAGCGUUAAUCGGAAUUACUGGGCGUAAAGCGCGCGUAGGUGGUUUGAUAAGUUGGAUGUGAAAGCCCCGGGCUCAACCUGGGAAUUGCAUCCAAAACUGUCUGACUAGAGUAUGGCAGAGGGUGGUGGAAUUUCCUGUGUAGCGGUGAAAUGCGUAGAUAUAGGAAGGAACACCAGUGGCGAAGGCGACCACCUGGGCUAAUACUGACACUGAGGUGCGAAAGCGUGGGGAGCAAACAGGAUUAGAUACCCGGGUAGUC
rnacentral:rRNA from 1 species